rnacentral:ncRNA from 2 species
GCGCCUGCUCCGGGGUGUGCUGAUGCGCUGAGAUGCAAGGGUCUGAAGGAAUUCAGGCGAGCUUGCGAACCCGACGAACUUGAUCCGGUUCAUACCGGCGGAAGAAGAGCCGACCUCCUUGUC